AUAGCGUAUAUUAAAGUUGUUGCAGUUAAAAAGCUCGUAGUUGAACUUCAGGCCUGACCGGGUGGUCCGCCUAACGGCGUGUACUGUCCGGCCGGGCCUUACCUCUUGGUGAGCCGGCAUGCCCUUUAUUGGGUGCGUUGGUGAACCAGGACCUUUACCUUGAGAAAAUUAGAGUGUUCAAAGCAGGCCUAUGCCCGAAUACAUUAGCAUGGAAUAAUAAAAUAGGACGUGCGGUUCUAUUUUGUUGGUUUCUAGAGUCGCCGUAAUGAUUAAUAGGGAUAGUUGGGGGCAUUGGUAUUGAGUCGCUAGAGGUGAAAUUCUUGGAUUGACUCAAGACCAACUAUUG
rnacentral:rRNA from 1 species